GCAGUCGAGCGAAUCGACGGGAGCUUGCUCCCUGAGAUUAGCGGCGGACGGGUGAGUAACACGUGGGCAACCUGCCUAUAAGACUGGGAUAACUUCGGGAAACCGGAGCUAAUACCGGAUACGUUCUUUUCUCGCAUGAGAGAAGAUGGAAAGACGGUUUACGCUGUCACUUAUAGAUGGGCCCGCGGCGCAUUAGCUAGUUGGUGAGGUAAUGGCUCACCAAGGCGACGAUGCGUAGCCGACCUGAGAGGGUGAUCGGCCACACUGGGACUGAGACACGGCCCAGACUCCUACGGGAGGCAGCAGUAGGGAAUCUUCCGCAAUGGACGAAAGUCUGACGGAGCAACGCCGCGUGAACGAAGAAGGCCUUCGGGUCGUAAAGUUCUGUUGUUAGGGAAGAACAAGUACCAGAGUAACUGCUGGUACCUUGACGGUACCUAACCAGAAAGCCACGGCUAACUACGUGCCAGCAGCCGCGGUAAUACGUAGGUGGCAAGCGUUGUCCGGAAUUAUUGGGCGUAAAGCGCGCGCAGGUGGUUCCUUAAGUCUGAUGUGAAAGCCCACGGCUCAACCGUGGAGGGUCAUUGGAAACUGGGGAACUUGAGUGCAGAAGAGGAAAGUGGAAUUCCAAGUGUAGCGGU
rnacentral:rRNA from 1 species